UGAAGAAAAAGUGUGGGAUUUCAAGGGAUUAAGCUAAUAAAGGUGGUGAAUCCUCCGAUAAAGGCAAGGAAAUUGUACCCCGAGGAUCGGUAGUUAGAGUACUCUAGAAAUUCGACUCUCGAAGUAGUUUAGAUUAAGCUGUAGACAGCUGAGUUCAUCGAGGACUACCCUUGGAUUUGCAUUCCUUCAAACUAUUGCCAUGCCUCCUCUAUGCGGACGCCCACCUCUCACUAGAUCGGUUGGGAGGGGAAGAGGUCGUUCCCAACGUCGUCAGCUAGAUGCAGUAGAGGAGGAAUCGGCUGCAUCCACCAUUCGGGCAGCAUCUAUUGCUGAGCAAGCAGAGACUCCUCCACAUUCUCCACAUCCUCUGCCACCUACUGGUACUCCUGCCAUGUCUCCUGAGGCAGUCUAGGCAUUGACAGCUUUCUUUAUCGUUAUUGCUAGCCAAGCUCAAGCUGGUCAGGCCCUCCUAUAGUACCACCAGUUGCUCCUUCAGUACCACCACCCCCACCUCUUGUUCUGAAAUACCCCAUACUUUGAUAUGGUGAUAAAUAAAAUUGAUCGAAUGCAUA